rnacentral:rRNA from 1 species
GAUGAACGCUGGCGGCGUGCCUAAUACAUGCAAGUCGAGCGAACAGACGAGGAGCUUGCUCCUCUGACGUUAGCGGCGGACGGGUGAGUAACACGUGGAUAACCUACCUAUAAGACUGGGAUAACUUCGGGAAACCGGAGCUAAUACCGGAUAAUAUAUUGAACCGCAUGGUUCAAUAGUGAAAGACGGUUUUGCUGUCACUUAUAGAUGGAUCCGCGCCGCAUUAGCUAGUUGGUAAGGUAACGGCUUACCAAGGCGACGAUGCGUAGCCGACCUGAGAGGGUGAUCAGCCACACUGGAACUGAGGCACGGUCCAGACUCCUACGGGAGGCAGCAGUAGGGAAUCUUCCGCAAUGGGCGAAAGCCUGACGGAGCAACGCCGCGUGAGUGAUGAAGGUCUUCGGAUCGUAAAACUCUGUUAUUAGGGAAGAACAAAUGUGUAAGUAACUAUGCACGUCUUGACGGUACCUAAUCAGAAAGCCACGGCUAACUACGUG